rnacentral:rRNA from 1 species
AGAGUUUGAUCAUGGCUCAGAACGAACGCUGGCGGCGUGCCUAACACAUGCAAGUCGAACGCGAACGUCUUCUUCGGAGGACAAGUAGAGUGGCGCACGGGUGAGUAACGCGUAAGUAAUCUGUCCUGGCAUCUGGGAUAACCUAUCGAAAGGUGAGCUAAUACCGGAUACGUCCUGGGGGAGAAAGACCGCCUCUGAUAUAAGCGGUUGUGCGAGGAGGAGCUUGCGUACCAUUAGCUGGUUGGUGGGGUAAUGGCCUACCAAGGCGACGAUGGUUAGCGGGUCUGAGAGGAUGAUCCGCCACACUGGAACUGAAACACGGACCAGACUCCUACGGGAGGCAGCAGUGAGGAAUAUUGCGCAAUGGGGGCAACCCUGACGCAGCGACGCCGCGUGGAUGAUGAAGGCCUUCGGGUUGUAAAAUCCUGUCAGAUGGGAAGAAGUGUACGAUGGUUAAGAGCUGUCGUAUUUGACGGUACCAUCAAAGGAAGCACCGGCUAACUCCGUGCCAGCAGCCGCGGUAAUACGGAGGGUGCGAGCGUUGUUCGGAUUUACUGGGCGUAAAGCGCGCGUAGGUGGUGUGAUCAGUCAGCUGUGAAAGCCCAUG